rnacentral:rRNA from 1 species
AGUGAAGAAGGCCUUACGGGUUGUAAAGCUCUUUCAGACGGAAAGAAAUCGCAUCUUCUAAUACAGGGUGUGGAUGACGGUACCGUAAGAAGAAGCACCGGCUAACUACGUGCCAGCAGCCGCGGUAAUACGUAGGGUGCGAGCGUUAAUCGGAAUUACUGGGCGUAAAGCGUGCGCAGGCGGUGAUGUAAGACAGAUGUGAAAUCCCCGGGCUCAACCUGGGAACUGCGUUUGUGACUGCAUCACUCGAGUACGGCAGAGGGAGGUGGAAUUCCGCGUGUAGCAGUGAAAUGCGUAGAUAUGCGGAGGAACACCGAUGGCGAAGGCAGCCUCCUGGGCCAGUACUGACGCUCAUGCACGAAAGCGUGGGGAGCAAACAGGAUUAGAUACCCUGGUAGUCCACGCCCUAAACGAUGUCAACUAGUUGUUCGGUGAGGAGACUCAUUGAGUAACGCAGCUAACGCGUGAAGUUGACCGCCUGGGGAGUACGGCCGCAAGGUUAAAACUCAAAGGAAUUGACGGGGAC